CUGCAACACCAAACAAUCAACAGCAGAGCCUGUCGUUUCCGGGUGGUUUUCUUUCGUACCCAAGGAAGGUCAACCCAAACUAAGGACAAGGUUCUUUAGCAUUGUUUUGAAUGAAGGACAGCUAACUGCAUCUUGCAAGAAUGUGGACAAAUCAGAACCAGCGAAGCACCCACUUAGACAGUGAAAUGAAAGAACCUCGUGUUUUUGUCAUCCACGCAGGGGAAGACAAAGAGUCAUUUGUUCGCCCAUUGGUUCGCACUCUGCUACGACAGGGGUUGUCUGAAAAAGACAUAUUUUUCGAUGAUGUUUCCAUCAGACCUGGUGAUGUCAUCAGGGACAGAAUAAUGUCGGCCUUAUCAAGUGAAAGUUUAGAGCUUGCUGUCGUUGUCGUCAGUACCUCAUUCCUUACCAAGCCAUACUGGCCUAGGCUAGAGUUUGAAACAUGUUUGAAAAAUAACAAACAUGUAUUCCCAAUUUGGGUUGAUUCCAAUUAUGACAACUUCAAGGUAUUCAGUGAAUCUGUCGGAAAGUAUUCACCUACAUUAAAGCAGAUGAGUGCGAAACGUGUACAGAGAGAUGACGUCAUUAUUGAGCUGCCAUACAUUGCCGCAGAGAUAAC